rnacentral:lncRNA from 1 species
AGCAUAUUCGUCGUGAAAAAUAAUUUAGAAUGUAUCAGUUAUAUUAUCAGAACAAUUAUAUAUAUAUAUAUAUAUAUAGAAUUAUGCUACUACACUAUCAAUAGUACCAAGUCCUUAGUACUAUUGAGUUUUCGACCGUUGAAUGAAAAGAUGUGCGGUUAGGAUGAUAGUGGUCCCUAGUAAAAUUGAUAAUGGUCCCCUAGGGUUGAGUGGGUGGUUGGUUUAAUAGUAUAAUCUAACGGGUGGAAAUGAUCAAAGGUAGAUCUAACAGUAGAAAACUCAAUAGUACCAAGGGCUUGGUACUAUCGAUAGUAUAGUAGCCGGACUCUAUAUAUAUAUAUAUAUAUAUAUAUAUAUAUAUAUAUAUAUUUUAAAAAAAAUCUCGAUUUCUUAGUUUAUUCUUUUUAGAAGGUUGAUAUUAAAAAUAUUUUUUAUAUUUCAAGUUAUUUCAAAUAUAUAUAUAUAUAUAUAUAUAUAUAUAAAAAUAUUAAUUUUAAAAAAAAUCUCGAUUUCUUAGUUUAUUCUUUUUAGAAGGUUGAUAUUAAAAAUAUUUUUUAUAUUUCAAGUUAUUUCAAAUAUAUUUAUAGAGUUAAAUUCUGUUAGUGAUCUGUUAGUAAUAAUCGUUAUUUCUGUAAAAUUAAUAUUUUAUCCUUUUUAAUAUACUUUUUUAUCAUCACAAAUUUUUCUUAUUUGUCCUUAAGUUAGGGACAAAAGGCGUAUUUUGAUUUUUAGUCCUUUCAAACAUACCUUUCUACCAUCAUCAACUUUUCUUAUUUGCCCUUAAGUUAAGGGCAAAAGAGGUAUUUUGAUUUUUUUUUUACUUCUAGUAAACAUUUAACUUGCGUUUAACCCGAGAUAACUUAACGGGUGGUAAUUGUAGGGGUAUUUUUGAAUAACAGAGAAAUAUAUGAGAUGUAUAUUGGAAACAAAAGAAAACUAGAAAUAAAUUAGAUAUUUUUGGAGUUUUGAGGGGUAUAUAGACAAUUAUCCCUAUAUUAUUAAUGCAAUAUAUUUCUAAACAAUUAGGUAGCAUUUGGUUCGGGAACAAGGAGGGGAAUAAGCCCUUGUUCCCCCCUUUAUUCCCAAACGUGAUGUUUGGUACCCAGGAACAAUAGUUCCAGAAUUUCAAGAACAAGCUGGUAUAAGGCUGUAACUGCUGUUCCACCUUUUUCUUGAAAUAAGCUUGUUCCUUGAUGAGAACAAGGUUAAUUAAAAUCUAAAUUUAAUUUUAAUGACAAUAAAUUAUUAAUUAAUCUAAUUAAUAUAUUUAAAUUAUUAUUUAUUACUUUAAUAAUUAAAUAAUUAAUUAAUUUAUUAUUUAUAAUUAAUUAAUAAUAAUUAGAUAAUCUAUAGUAUUAUUAAUUUAUUAUUUAUAGUUAAUUAUUAAUAAUUAUUAAUUAGACAAUCGUUAUUAUUAUUAAUAUAUUAUUUAUAAUUAAUUAUUAAUAAUUAGAUAAUUAUUAUUAUUAAUUUAUUACUAGUAAUUAAUUAUUAAUAAUUAUUAAUACUUAUUAUUAUUUAUAAUUAAUUAAUAAUAAUUAAUUAAUUAUUUUAUUUUUAAGUAAUAUUUUGAUGUUAAUUAAUUACAUAAUAUAAUUUAAAUUUCAAAUUAUAACUCUUAUUUCUCUUGUUCCAAUCGAACCAUCCAAAUACUAUUUACCUUAUUUCUAGAAACAACCCAAUUUUCAUCGAAACGCAAAAUUGGUCUAGUUCCUGCUUAUACCUGAAUUUGUACCUAUCCAUAGAACUAGUGGUUCUUAUUUAUACCCGAACCAAACGCAGCCUUAGAUUAUCCCUUUUAGGUUCACCCAUUCCAUCAUAAUUAUUAGAGAAAUAUUUUUAUUGUACUUUUUUUUUUCUCAAACAGAGAGAUGCGAUAGACUGAUUAUUGAUGAUAUAAUGCAAGUGUGAUAUAAUAGACUUCCGCCUGUUUUGGGGCGAACAAUAAAUUUUUAUCUUAAAAAUAAAAAAAUUUUGAGCUAAAUUAGGGCCCGUUUGGCCUAACUUUUGAAAAAGUGAUUUCUGAAAAAGUGAUUUUGGUUUAGAGAAUUGAUUUUGGUUAAAAGCUGCAGAGCGUUUGGCCGAGUUUAGAUAAAAGCGAUUUUUCAGAAGUGAUUUUCAAAAACUGUUUGGCAUAUAUUUUUUUUGAUGUUUAUAUAAAUUAAUAUUUUUAUUAAAUUUUAUUUUAAAAUAAUUUAAAAUCUAAAUUUAAAUUUGAAUUAAAAUUAAAAUUUUUAAAUUUCAAAAUUGUACAAAAUUAAAAAUGUCACGCCCCGGUUUACUCGUUUUUCCGGCUCGCUGACAGACCCGCCGUAUAUAUAGGUAUUUUUCCUGUAUACGAAGCGAAAAAGUAGAAGUGCCUGUAAUCAUACAAUACUACAAACAGUAGUAUAGAGCAGCUAGGAAAAUAAACCAGAAAUAAAAACUGCGGUUCCAAUACAUACAUGUCAUCCAGGUAUACAAACACUCGCUCAUGCGAGAAAACAACAACUGUAUGUAAAGACCCAAAAACUACAACUACUUGUAGCUGGUGCUCUC